rnacentral:rRNA from 1 species
UACGUAGGGUGCGAGCGUUAAUCGGAAUUACUGGGCGUAAAGCGUGCGCAGGCGGUUUUGUAAGUCUGACGUGAAAUCCCCGGGCUUAACCUGGGAAUUGCGUUGGAGACUGCAAGGCUGGAGUCUGGCAGAGGGGGGUAGAAUUCCACGUGUAGCGGUGGAAUGCGCAGAUAUCAGGAAGAACACCAACGGCGAAGGCAGCUCGCUGGGACGGUACUGACGCUGAGACGCGAAAGCGUGGGGAGCGAACAGG